AUUGAACGCUGGCGGCAGGCCUAACACAUGCAAGUCGAACGAGUGGCGGACGGGUGAGUAAUGUCUGGGAAACUGCCUGAUGGAGGGGGAUAACUACUGGAAACGGUAGCUAAUACCGAAUACUAUCAGCUGUGCUCAGAUGGGAUUAGCUGGUUGGUGGGGUAACGGCUCACCAAGGCGACGAUCCCUAGCUGGUCUGAGAGGAUGACCAGGCACACUGGGGCUGAGACACGGUCCAGACUCCUACGGGAGGCAGCAGUGAGGAAUAGUGCGCAAUGGGCACAAGCCUGAUGCAGCCAUGCCGCGUGUAUGAAGAAGGCCUUCGGAUUGUAAAGUACUUUCAGCGGAGAGGCGUUACCCACAGAAGAAGCACCGGCUAACUCCGUGCCAGCAGCCGCGGUAAUAC
rnacentral:rRNA from 1 species